rnacentral:lncRNA from 1 species
UGUGAUAGUGACUACUUCACAUCUACUUCAAGAAGAACCUUCUCUCAUGACAGACAAGCAAUGAUCUAUGGAUAAACCAAUGUGUCCUUAAGAGUUGUUUUAAUGUUUUCUUUUUUCCCUUUUUAUUGGACAUUUUAUGUAUUCUAUUUCAAAUAUUAUUCCCUUUCCCUCUCUCCCAUCGCCCCUUCCCCCUGCCCCUACUUCUGUGAAGAUGCUCCCACUCCCACCCACCCUCUUCCACCUCAACACCCUGGCAUUCCCUUACAUGGGGGGAAAUGAGCCUUCACAGGACCUAUUGAUGCCAGACAAUGCCAUCCUCUGCUACAUAUUCAGCAGGAGCCAUGGGUCUCUCCAUGUGUACACUUUGAUUGGUGGUUUAUUCCCUGGAGCUCUGAA